CACAGACAACCAGGAUGUUGGCUUAGAAGCAGCCACUCAUUCAAAGAGUGCGUAAUAGCUCACUGGUCGAGUGAUCCUGCGCCGAAGAUUUCCGGGGCUAAAACUUACUACCGAAGCUACGGCAUCAGUAAUGAUGGGUAGGGGAGCUUCCCAUACGGGUUGAAGCAUGACCGUAAGGACAUGUGGACAGUAUGGGAGUGAGAAUGUUGGCAUGGGUAGCGAGAUGUGGGUGAGAAUCCCACAGGCCGUAAACCCAAGGUUUCCAGGGGAAGGUUCGUCCGCCCUGGGUUAGUCGGGACCUAAGCUGAGGCCGAAAGGCGUAGGUGAUGGACAACAGGUUGAUAUUCCUGUACUACCGAUAAC
rnacentral:rRNA from 1 species